AUACGGAGGAUGCGAGCGUUAUCCGGAUUUAUUGGGUUUAAAGGGUGCGUAGGCUGUGCGUUAAGUCAGGGGUGAAAUGCCGUCGCUCAACGACGGAGCUGCCCUUGAUACUGGCGUGCUGGAGUACGGAUGCCGUUGGAGGAAUGAGUGGUGUAGCGGUGAAAUGCUUAGAUAUCACUCAGAACACCGAUUGCGAAGGCAUCUGACGAAUCCGUCACUGACGCUGAGGCACGAAAGCGUGGGGAUAGAACAGGAUGAGAUACCCUGGUAUUCCACGCCGUAAACGAUGAUGACUAACCGUCGGCGAUAGACAGCCGGUGGCCAAGCGAAAGCGAUAAGUCAUCCACCUGGGGAGUACGUCGGCAACGAUGAAACUCAAAGGAAUUGACGGGG
rnacentral:rRNA from 1 species